rnacentral:rRNA from 1 species
CCCUUAGACGUUCUGGGCCGCACGCGCGCUACACUGACCAGUGCAACAAGCAUCCGUCCUUGGCCGACAGGCCCGGGCAAUCUUUGAACGCUGGUCGUGAUGGGGAUAGACUUUUGCAAUUUUUGGUCUUCAUCGAGGAAUUCCUAGUAAACGCAAGUCAUCAACUUGCAUUGAUUACGUCCCUGCCCUUUGUACACACCGCCCGUCGCACCUACCGAUUGAAUGGUCCGGUGAAGCCUCCGGAUUGGCGCGCACCUCGGUGCCGCCGAGAAGUUGGCUAAACCUUACCAUUUAGAGGAAGGUGAAGUCGUAACA